rnacentral:lncRNA from 1 species
AUUCCGAUCUGAAAAGUACUUAAUAAAAUAGAAACUUAUAUGCUUUUAAAAUAAAACCAAGCCAAAGCUGUCUUGCUAUCUGGCCACCCAGAGUCCCUCCAAACAUCGAACCUUCUACUGAGCAUCACCUGAAAAUAAAAUAAAAGAGGGGACGAGUUUUUGCAAACUCAGUGUGUACAACCCUCGACGAGUAACAAGCAUUCAAUAAUCACCAUACAUCAAACAUGCAAUGCAAUGCAGUGCAAUCCCAUCCCAAUAAUCCAUCCACUACAUACUAACUCCGUCCCCCGAUGCACAUCAUGUGGGGAUAUAAAUAUCGACCCACCCAACCGAUACACAUCCAUGGUAGCCCGGUUGCAGAACUACCUUCAUUUAUACAUUGGGCUUAAAAGCUGUCGAUGGAUCUACGAUUGUCAAGCAACCAUGCGAUCCUCAUAUACUUCCUCCGUUCCAUAUUUCCCAACCCAUAUGCAACCUAAGUAGAAUAUCAUAUGUAUGCAGCAAAUAUGCAUGUCAUAUCCAUAAAACCUACAUUCAACACAUAGGGGUAAUUUGGUCAUCUUCGUCCUUAGGGGCAUUUCAAUAAUUUUUCCAUUAUUAUGGUUUUCACUUACCUUGGCCCGUUAACAAAUCCCGAGAGCUAAGAUGAACGAAUACUAUGCACCAGGUAGGAUUCCAGAGAAGAGGAGGUGAGUCAUUAAGACCACUUAAGUACCAAGCUCUUCCUAGAUCCAAUCCUAGACAUACAUAUACCCGUUGCCACACCUUAACCCUAUGACUUGUCCACGGUCUCAACAAUUUAAUUAAGUUUUAUGUAAUCAUCAUAUACUAAGCCCAAAACCCCUACAUACAUGCAUAUGGCCCACUAAACCCAAUCUCAUUUAUAUGGCCCAUCCAGCCCAAUUCACGUUUAUAUGACCCAUCAGGCCCAAUUCACAUUCAUAUGGCCCAUUAGGCCCAAUCUCAUUUAUAUGACCCAUCUGGCCCAAAUCACAUUAUGUUCGUGCUCACACACAAAUUUUCAAUCACAUAGCAUCACUUAUCAAAUUUUGGCCUGUUAUGGGCCCAAUAGCCCAUCGGGCCCAUUUAGCCCAUUCUGGCCCAUUUAGCCUAUUCACAACCCAAGUCCAUGGAUCGCCCAUGGGCCUUAGGCAACCUAUCAGUUUUCCCUUUACGAGUUUUCGCACACUCGCAAGACUACCAUAGCCAAACUUUCGGCUUUUCGACAUUUUGGCUUUUCGACAUUUCAGCUUUUGCUGAUCUACUUGUGUAUGCAGUGUAAGUACACACCUGGUAACAAGCCUGCUGCGAUUCCCUUAGCCACCAACCUACAAACGAUAUCACCCUUCAAUUAAUCAUAUGCUUAAUAUAUAUUUUACCCAAAAACCGAAACCUCACCUUAAUCUUACCUUGAACACCAAUCCCUAAUAGCUUUUGCUUGAUCACGUACUCCUUAGAUCUGCAUUAAUCUUACUCAUUAAAACCAAAUACUAGGGGACUAGCAUCCAACAUAAUUCACCCUCUUAUCUUACUUCAGACCAUUCGGCCAACCUUAGCCAAUAAGAGAGAAAUACUUACCAAAACUGCAAAACACCAAAGGAGUACUUCGGCAGAGAGCUAAAAUUCGAGAUCCGAUACUAAUUCCCUACCAAAGUUGAUUAAAAAAGAGUGAGGGAGGGGCAUAAUCAGUAUUAACAAUACUAGCCGAAAAAGAGAUAAGGUACUUACCCAAAAGAGUAAUCGGCCCAAGGGAGAUUCAGCUUUUCGACUUUCAAGCUAAUAUGGUGAAUAAGGUUUAUUUGGCACAAAUUAAAGAAGAAGGGUAGAAGAAGGAAUAAGCUAACCCAAAGGGUAAAUCAAAAGAGAUCUGAGGAGAGAAAGAAUGGUAAAAGAAUCAUCUAACAAAGAUGGAAAAUCCAAUUGGCACUAAAAAAAUGAAGAAUUUGGCAUUAGCCUAAGAUCCCAAACUCAGCACAUAUUUAUAGCCUCUAGCCAAAUUGCCUGACCCUUAAUUCCUAAUACAGCUCCAUCACUUCCCCCUUCUCAUCUCCUCAUUUUUGUCCCUGAUAACUCCCCAAUUUAUUUCCUAAAUUUUCUCUUCUAAACACUCCCCUUAGAUUCCAUCUUUACGCCACUUCCAACCUUCUAGAAGGACAAAAUUAAACUCCUAAAAAAAUACUAAGCUAGGAUUUGAACCUCGGAUCUCCUUGCUAGCCAUUAACCCCAGAUCCCUACACCCUAAGUGGCGUCACUUAGCCACUCCUCCACAAGGCUUUUUGAUGCCAUUUUCCCCUAUCUUUAGUUAAAAGCCCAACUACUCCCAACCCUGAUUCUUUUAAUAAUUAAAUUAAAAUUCCUCCACCACAAAACUCGAACCCAGAACAUCUCCAACAAACCUAGACACUUCAAAUUCCUUAAACCCUUAAAGCCAACAUCUCUUUUGUCAUUAUUUUGCUCACUUAAAAAUUUUAUGAAACCCAAAGCCCAAAGCCCAAUUCAUCUAGGCCCAAAAUUCGGGGCGUUAAAAUUACAAUAAGCAUACAAUCACAUGCUUUCCAACAAAUUGGCAAUUUGCUUAAUGACAUACAUUCAAAUAAACAAGUUAGUCACAUAAUUCACAUGUACAUCAAGUACAUAUGGAUGAGCUCAUUAUGCUACAUUCUUUCAGGUAUUUUAGAAGUAUUAUCGACAUAACUCUUUUAAUCUCAUAAUUUCUCCUGUCAGAAGUUUUGUCCGUUGAAUUAUUGAAAUAUCGAUGGAUACUCAGGUAGUACACACAAGGUGUACAAAAUUGUAAACUGUCAAUUCAUAAUCAAGGAUACCCAUAGGGCACUUAAUCAGGGAGCACACUCUUGAGCCACAUAACAAGAUGCUCAAAUGAGCCAUGUAACAGGAUGCUUAUCUGGGCUAAACAGGAAACUCAUAAAAGUUUAAAUCAGAGAGCUCAUAGAGCUUAUCAGGUAAAUCCAAAGAGUUAUUAUCAGGGACCAACAGAUAAGAUAACAGGGAGUUCAAGCGAGCCAUUUCAGUAAGCUCAUAAGAUCCUAUAUCAGGACGCUCACAUAGAGCUAUGUUUGUGUUCGCAAUAUAUGCUGGAUCACAACCGAUUGAAUCAUAUAACAGGACGCUCACACAGAGCUGCAGUAGUGCGCAACACAUGCAUAAUCACUACUGAUUAGCAUGCUCAUAGGAACUAUAUAACAGGAUGCUCGAGAGGGCUUUUAUCAAGAUACUCGUUCGAUCUAUAUUCUGUCUGGUACAUAUGUAGGACUACAUUCAAUACAGGAAUUCAUAUAUCCAUUGAAUUUCCUUAUUCAAACGGAACUUAACAUUUUCCAAACUUGAUUGAAUAUGUGAUUAUUUCAUUUAUUUAUAACAUUUAUAUAAUUCAUACAAUCACAUACCACAUUCAAUUUAAGCAUAUAGAUAAACACAAUUUGGUUACACGAACUUACCUCGAUACUUGUUCGUAUUUAAAAGUCUACUAAUCUAGCACUUUUUCUUUCCCUUGAUCUAGCUUCUAAUUUGAGUUAUCUGCAUCUAUAUAAAUGAAUUUAAUCAUCAAAUUAAUCCAUUUCAUACUCAAUUGGAUUCAAUUUACACCCUAGGUAAAAUUACCAUUUUGCCCUUAAACUUUUCAUAAAUUCCAAUUUCAUCUUUAGGCUCGGAAAAGGAAAUUCAUGCAAUUUAUUCCUUACUCCAAGCCUAACAAAAAUAUUCAUAUAACAUUUACAGCACAUGUAUUUCACAAAAAUCCAUAAUUUUUCCAUAACUUUUACAUCUUUACAAUUUAAUCCCUAAAUCACAAUUUCAUCAAAAUUCUCUUUGUAAAAGUUGUUUAUUUAUCAACAACCUUUCAUUUUCUACCAUAAAUUUUAAAAUUUUAGCAUAUUCAUCCAUGACAAGACUUUGUUACUUUGAUAACUUUUCAAAUUAAUCCCCAAAAUAAAUAUAUUAAGCUAUUCCAAUCUCAAAAAUAUAAAAAUUACUAAAAAUAGGACAAGAAAACAUACACAAUUAAGCUUGAUUAGUUUUCUAUCUCUCUCCUAGUGUUUCCAUGUAAAUUUUGUGGAAGAUGAUGAAAAAUAAGAUGAUAUUUUCUAUUAUAAUCUUUUAAUUAUUUUGAUUUCCAAUUUAGUCCUUAACUUUUUUUUAAAAUUUCUCAUGGAUGAAUCACCAAAAACAUCUACUAACUUUUCUUUAAUGGCCUAAUUACCAUAUAAGGACCUCAAGUUUUGAAUUCCAUAGCUAUUUGAUCUUUCUAGGUACUAGAAUUCAACUUUUGCAUUUUAUGCAAUUUGGUCCUUUCCAUAAUUAAACACAUAAUCGAUAAAAUUUUCUUAUCAAAAUUUUCCUUUAACAUUCCUGUCAUAAUGUGGACCAUGCAAUAAUAUUGAAAUAAAUUUUCUUUUUGGCUCGAAUUUGUGUCCCGAAACCACUGUUCCAGUUUAAUUGAAAAUGGGUUGUUACAUAAUUAAUUACUUUACUACGUUUACAAGUGCACAUCUAUUCGUAAGUCAAUCUUAGAGGUCCAUAUCCUCAAGGAUGCAUAACAAAGAACAACAUUGCCAGAUUGGUCAGAAUUAUUGAGAAUUUGAACCAACUUAAACUAGAAGACAAACUAGAACCUGAUGAAUCUCCUAACAUGGUUGAACAAACAGAAAUCCCUAACGAUGUUGGGUUGACUGAUCCGACACAUGUUAAAGAGUUAGAUCUAUCAGCUAUAGUAGAUACGCUGAAAUUUAUGCAUCAUCAACAAAAAGCUUAUUGGAAAUAUGCCAAAGUUAGACGUAAUUCCAUGCAGAACGUCUUUAAGAAUUUCUUAGAUAAUCCUUUUACUUUUUUUCUUGAAUUUCUAGAUCAUAUUUUGGAGCCAAGGUUGAAGAAGUCAAGGGAUUUGUGACUCAAAAUAAAGAUGAGAAGAUGAAAAAUCAGCAGAAUUGGACGUGAAUGUCGACACCAGUUAAUAAAAAAGGGUUUCUCACUUUCUUUCUUAGUUUUUUCCAAAAAUAAUUUGUUAUUUAUUUUGGUUAAUUUUAUUUCGUACAAAUAAAAAUUGUAAUUAUGAAUAAAAAAUGUCGAUGCUUCUCAUUUAUUUUUGUUUUCUCCUUCUAUCUGUCAAGAAAAGACUUGGUACUUUAGCAGUCUUCAUGACUCACCUCUCUUUUUUGGGAUCCUACCUAGAGCAUAGUUUGUAUUCACUUCUCUGUUCUUUGGAAAAAGGACAUUGCUUUUCUUAAGUGAGGGGAAGGCAAUCUUGUAUGAUCUCUUUAAAAAUAAAUUUUUGCACAUAAGUAUGCUUAAACUAAAUUAAUGCCCAGAAAAAAUUUUUGUUAAUAAAGUUAGCUCGAAUACAAGUAUAAAUUCUGAUUUUGACUCAAGUUUUGUCAAAAUUAUAAAAUUAUAUUAGUUUAGUUAUAAUUUGAGUAUGUUUCAAAUAAUCUUAUGUAAUUUUUUCCAUGAUAAUUUUAAUUCUCUUUAAGAAUAUUUAGGCAUGUGUAAAAAACUGAAUGUCAAUAAUGGCAAUGUAGAAUGAUCACAAAGCAAAAAAGAAAGAAAAAUAAGAACACACAAGUUUUACAUGGAAACCCUUUCGGGAAAAAACCAUGGGUAGAGGAGAAGAAAAUUCACUAAUGUUGAAAUUCGAAUGACACAAGAUUAGUUUCGACUAUUGUUUAUAGCUUGAAAACCCUUAUUCUAAUCAAGGUCAAAUAGAAGGAGAGAAGUUCUAUACGGAUUCUACUUGUACAAUCAACAUCAAAUAGAAAAAGAGUAGUUUUAUACGAAUUCUACUUGUGUAGCCUCGGCCUUCGCCUGCAUAGGUCCCCCUAUUUUGCCACUUUAUUUUAUUUCUAUAACAAGAAUUUGGGUCACACAACUCUAACAGCAUGCAUGAAAGUUUAAGUCUUUAGAACUGUCUUAGUAACUUUCUUGAGGCGAAACCCUAUAAGGCAUAAGAGUCUGAAAAUGAUUUAAACACUUUUCUUUGGAUUGGUUGAGCCUUUGAAGCCUACCUUAUUAAGAAUUACUCCUUAAAAACUUACUUUGAGCUUUAUGGCAUGUUUUAUUGUUUCACCUAUAAAUUAAGCCAUCUUUCAUAAAUUUUACCCUAUAUUUUCACCGAAUCUUAACCUUACUUAUCUUUGUAAUUAAGUUUGGGGGAGAAUUCAAAAAGAGAUGCAAUCUUAGAAAAAAUAUAUUACCCUUACUAAAAAAAAAGAAUAGUCUUGAAAAUAAUUCGUAAGGCAGUAUUGCCUAUGAGCCUCCAAGCAAGCUAAGUUAAGGUUAUUUAAGCCUAAAAAUCCUUUCUCUUUAUCCAUACCUUAAGCCCAGCCCUAUUACAACCGUAUUAAAGACCUAUUGAUUUUGGUAAUUAUGACGACUACAUUAGUAGAGAGAAAAUACUAAGUUCAGCAUAUGAAGACAAAUAUUAAACCUUAAGGUUGUUAUGCUCAACUAAAAAUUAAGAAAAAUAAAUUGAAUGGUGAAAAUUAACAUGUAACUAUAAGGAAAAAAAUCAUGAUUUACGUUAAAAUUUUUUCUUCUUUCUUGAUAUAAAAUUUUGAAGUAAUAUUUGCAUGCGAGCAACUUAUUAGAAAGAAGAGUUUCUAGGCAUAAAUUUGUUAAUAAAUGAUUAUGUAGAAAUUAAAAUUCGCUUAGAGACAAUGUUGCAAGGUUGUUGUUUGAAAUUUUGUAAAUUUUCAUAAGCCAUUACUCAAGACAAGCAAUGAAUUAAGUUUGGGGGUAUGAUAACUAUAAAAAUAUAGUUUUCUACAACACUUUCUAGCUCAUAAUUCUUGCAAAUUCUAAGUAAUUUAUAACAAAUUUUAUUAAUUUUAUUUCACAUUUGUUAAAUUGGAUAAGUUUAUAAAAUAUAUAUAUUAAAUUUCAUGAUAAAUUAACUUAAUUUUAAUUAUUUUUGCAACUCUGAACCAGUUUGUGCAUCGGAAGAAAAUUUGGCCUUGAAGCUCACCCGUUAAGGUCCUACACAUUCAUCAAGUGAAGAAAUUGAGCAACUAACCAACAUUUGGGUGUCCUAUAUAAUUAUUAAAAUUAUUUUUCAGACUGUCAAUUUAAUUAGUUAACACAAAUUUUGAUUGGGUAGUUGAACGCUCGAAGCAAAAGAAGCCCAAAAUGUCUAAUGUGAAAGGGGAAGUGUAUGCAGGUCAAAGAGGCCUAAUUUUCAUUAAAUCUAUCCAAACCAAACCGUCCAUAUUUCUUUGAAAUUAGAUUUUUAAAAGAUUAUUUUUAUUAAUAAUAAAACAGCCCUCAAACUUCUUUACAUACCUGGUCCUACCCCUCCACUUUUCAAGCUUUACAUUUUAAGCACUUUGCGUAACAUAUCAAAACAACUCAACCCCCUUCUCCUCAAUCCAUGGCCGAUCACUUGAGGGAGAAAAUCAAGGUUGGAAAUUUAUAUUUCUAGCCACCCCAUAUGUGUAUAAAUAGAGGCCUAAACUCCCUUCAUUCAUGACUCAUUCACACACCAUUCUCUUUUCUCUUAAACAUCUCCAUUCUCCCUUCUCUUCCACGCCUAAGCCUUUCAUCUUCUCCAAUAUUUUUUUUGUUCUCUUUUUGAGAGAUCAUCAAGUAAACAUUUCUUAAGUUGGAGCUCUCAUAGCCAGCCAUCAAUGAUAACAAGAUGAAUUUGUAUGUUUAAUGCACCCAAUUUCGGUAAAUUUUUCUACUGAGCCUGUAAUUUUUGUUUACUUUUAUCAGGUACACAGCUGGAGUAUCGAAAUUCAAGUUACUGCAACACCCCUAACCCGUAUCCGUCACCGGACUAGGGUUAAAGGAAAACAUUACAAAAUCAUAAAUCAUACAUCAUCAUAUCAUAGAAAUCCAUACACAAAUAAUCCCUUUAGAAGGUUUAUGAAACCUUAAACAUGCUUUAGAGAAGGUUCGGGACCAAACCAAAUACAUACAAAAUUUUUUGAAACUUAACUAAACUUUCUAAGUUACAGGGGUCACACGCCCGUGUGAACAGGCCGUAUGCCUCACAUGGCAUUAAACACCCCCGUGUGUCUAGAACGUGUCAAAUCAGGGCAUAUAUACUAACUUAAUCACACGGCCACAAGACAUGCCCGUGUGCCUUGGCCGUGGUCGAAACUGACUUGGGUGCCACGGCUAACCCACGCCCGUGUGCCUUGGCCAUGCUCAAGACUGAUUUAAAAUCGUAGGGUACCCCAGGAACACACGGCUGUGCAACAUGGCCGUGUGUCACACACGACUGAGACACACACCCAUGUCUCUACCCGUGUGGACAAAAAUAGGCUAUUUGAAAAUCCAAUUUGCCACCAAUUUGGGUCAAACCUACAAGCAUCAAACCAAAUUAUAGCCAAUUUCAAUACCAAAACAUAUAUCAUUCAUGCCAUGUUAUUAUCAACCAAAUUCAAACUUAAUAGCCAUACUAAAUUAUGCAAAAACAUAAGACAAAAUCAUAUCUAAUCAUUUGCUUCAUAACCUCAUUUUACUUCAUUAAAUCACAUGCUAUAAACUUACCAAUUUCUCAAAUAUGCACAUACCAAAACUUACCAAAAUUGACCAUUUCACUUGGUCAUUCAUUAACACAUCACAUAAGUAUAAUUUGCAUCACAUAUCAUAUACCAAAAUCAAACCAUAAGUUCAACCAUAAUUAAGCCAUAUCACAUGGCUAAAUAUACACUUCUCAAAACAUAUUCAACUACCUCUAGCCUAUACAUGCCAUACUCCAAUAUUUGCACUUUCAAAGUGUACCAAAAUAAGGUUCGAUAGUGUGGUGAUGAUCCUUGACAAUCCCCGAGCUUCCGGUAGCUUUGAUAUCUAUAAAAUAGUUGAAAAACACACAAAGUAAGCUUUCAAAAGCUUAGUAAGCCAUAUAAAAAUAAACUUAACAAUUAACAUCAAUUCAUUCAUAUAAUUUGAGGCAAAAUACAUUCAUUUAUACAUAUAUCUCUUAUAUUUCAUUUGAAUAACAUGAUUCACAUAUACAUGUCAUAACUCAUUCUCAUACUUAUAUCAUAUAUUCAGCAAGGUACAUAUACUUACCUUUCAAUUUCAAACAUGAUAUACAAUUCAAACGUAUUUGAGUCAGAUACAAAUUUACAUAGUCAUUUAUUUUCUCAGAAUGCUCGUUGAACCGUUUAUAAUCAUAAGGAUACGUGGAUAGCUUAGAAAGCUCGUACAAUGCCAACGUCCCAGACGUGGUCUUACAUGUAAUCAAAUAUCGAUGCCACUAUCCCAGAAAGGGUCUUACACAAAAUCAAAUACAAUGCCAACGUCCCAGACAUGGUCUUACACGAAAACACAUAUCGGAUCUUAUGUCAAGACAUAUGUAUCCUAACUAUUCGUACGGUUCGUACGGGGCUUUUCGGAUGCUGGAACUUUUUUGACACUUUCUCAGAUAUCUUAUUUUUCUCAACUCAUAUAUUCAUUCAUCAUAGUACAAUAGCAUAUAUUCGAUAGUAAUUCAAUUCAAAACACAUUUAUUUAUAUAUAGACUGUAAUAGCCCAAAAUUGGGUCUAGUUGGAAUAGAGGUUUCGGAACCACAAAAUCUGAGAUAGAAAUAAUUAUUUUAUGAUUAUUUUUAGGUCUAUGAUAUGAUUUCAUGAUUGUGUGAAAAUUUCGUGAAGAAAUUCUAUGCAUAAAGUGCACAAUUUGAAGUUAGAGACUAAAUUAAAUAAGUUGCAAAACUUGCAUUCUAGAAGUUUCUAGUAUGAAAUUUGUAACAGCCCAAAAUUGACCCUAGUCGGGAAGUGGUUUCGGGACCACAAAACCGAGUCACAAAAUUUAGUUAAAAUUUUAUUUGCAUAUCUUAUAUGUGUGAUAGUACUUGUAUAAAAAUUUGAUGUUUUAAUUUUGUAUUAGGAAUGUGAAUUUUGCUUGAAAGGAUCUAGUUGAGAGACUUAGAAAAUUAUGAUAGGUAAAUAAGUAAGGACCAAAUAGUAUUAAAAUAGGAAAGUUUGGGUUUGCAUGUCAAAGUGCCCAAUUCUUGAUAAGUGGCCGGCCAAGCAUGGUUCCAUUCCUCCAAGUUUAUGUUGUUUAUUAUUUAAUAUUGGUAAGUAAAUUAGAAUAAAUAAAAGAAGGGAAUUAAAAAGAAAAAAAAGGAUGAAUAAAAUAAGGGAGGAAGAAGGAGUGUUCAUCCUUUUCCUUAUCACAAUUGCCGUACCUAAAGAAAGAAAAAGAAGAAAGUGAAGUUAAGGCAUUUGGUCAUCUUCAAGUUGAUUAAGAAGCUCUUGAAUAUUCGGUGCCUAGGGGAAAAGUUUCUAAGAAGUUUGGCCAUGCAUGUAACUAGAUUGAGGUAUGUUUGAUAUUAUUCUUUGAGAUUCAUGUAUAUUUUAAGUUGUAAGUUUGAAAUCUACCUAUCCAUGGUUCAAAUUUUGUUAAUUGAUGGAGAUGAUAUUCGGCCAUGAAUGUUACAUUCUUGGUUGGUAUUUUGAUGUCUUUGGUGAUGAGGUAUGAAGAUGGUUGAUUUUGAGUGUUUAAUAAAAAGGAUACAUGAAUUAUUGUUAAAUAAUGGUCGAAUGUAGCAUGAUUAAAGAUGUGAAUAAAUUGAAGUUAAGGAGGUUGUCAAUGAAAAAUAUGAGUUGGAUGAGUCUUAAAGAAUAAAAAUUUAGGUGACUAGAGGUCAAGGACAUUCGGUCAAAGGCUUGUGUGCUAGCAAAAUCGGCCAAGUGUUUAUGUGGUGGAAAUUAAGUGUUAAAUGGAAUGAAAAUGAUAUUAUAUGGGGGUAUGUAUAUUCGGCCAUAUGAGUAAAUAUAUAGAUGAUGUUAAAUUUGAUUAUGUAUAAUGGGCAUUAAGAUGUGGAACUUAAGAAAUGUAGUUAUAUGUGGAUUUACAUGAUGUUAUAGUUGACAUUGUGCAUAUACACAUGCAUUCGGCCAUCUAAUUGAGUAUGAAGGUGGUGUUAAAUCUAAUUGUGAUGCCCAUUCCGAAGUAUAUAUACAUAUAUAUACAUAAGUAUGGCCAUUCGUGAUGUUACCUUUAAUUAUGUGUGUAAUCGACUAAAUGGGUAAUUAGUGAGGAUGGUUGCCGAAUAUACAAACAUACAUAUGCAUGUGUAAUUGAAUUAUGAAUGUUUAGCAAGAUGGUUAAACUAGUUGAUUUAUUGAUUAAGCUCAAGGAGUUAAAGGAGGAGAAUCAAGCAAAGGCAAAGAAAAGAUCAUCGAGUAGCCGAGUUGGAACCGUCUUACCCAACACAAAGUAAGUCAUUAAGCAUAUAGUUUGUAUUAAUUUAAAUGGUCAUAACGUCUAUGUAAUGACGCUGAAUGGAAUGAUAAAUAUAUAUAUAUACAUGUAUGUAUGUGGUGAUGAAAGUGUUGAAUGAAAAGAAAAGAGGUGAGAUGUAUUGAGUUGUUGAUCUCGGCACUAAAUGUGCGGGUAUAAACAUUUAUGAUCAUGAGAUUGGCGCUAAGUGUGCGGGUUUAAAUUGUACAGCACUAAGUGUGCAAGUUUGAUUAUGUAGCACUAAAUGUGCGAGUUUGAUUAUAUAGCACUAAGUGUGCGAGUUUGAUUAUAUAGCACUAAGUGUGCGAGUUGAUUAUAUAGCACUGAGUGUGCGGACUUAAUAUAUACUUUUGAAUCACUAUGGACACUAAGUGUGCGACAUUAUUGAGUUGAUCACGGACAGCGGAUCGGGUAAGUACCUUGAGUUCAUGGCCAAUAGGCGCUAUGUUUAUAAUUGGAGUUGAGCUUGGUAAGUUGAAACCUAUGUGACAAUUAUAAUUGAAGUCACGUACAUAAGAUUUAUCGUGGAAUAGGUGAAAGGCCGUUUAGUUGUAUGAUUGUAACGAAAAUAAAAUGAUGUAUGAAAAUGCCUCAAAUAUCCUAUUGAUGAGUAUAUGGAAUGUGAAUGCAUGAUUUGGUAUGAGAUUGAACCGAUGGGUCUGAGGAACUAUGGCAUGGUUCGGUAUGGAUGGAGUAACUAGCCUCGUUCCAUUUUGUUUCCUAUUGUGAUAAUGUUAUUAAUGGAUGGUAGUGCAUUGCUUAUGACUUACUGAGUUAUAUACUCACUCGGUGUUUCCUUGUCACCUAUUUUAGGUUUCUUGGACUCGACUCUUUUUACGUGAUCGGGCCGUCAUUGGAGUCAUCACACCGGCUAGCAAGUUUUGGUACUUUCUUCUUAGUCGGCUUAGGAGAACAUUUCGGCAUGUAUAGGCUAUUAUGUUGUGUUUGAACUUUGGUAUGUAAACUUUUAGCCAUGCGAAAAUGGCAUAAAUGUUCGGUUGGGUUUGGUUUCAUAACGUUAGGUCGUAAAUCUUGAUAAUUCGACCUUUUUAUGCCAUAUGUCAUGGUUGAUUAUUUUGGUGUUAAAAUUCAUGAUAUGGCAAUAGUGUAGUAGGGGGAUGUUUGACAAUGAUUAGCCUUUGGCAUGGCUAGUCAUGAUCAUAAUUUGUGAUAUGUAUGAUGAAUUACUAGUUAGAUCAAGGAGAAAUCACGAUAUGGGCAUAGUUGCUUUCGUAACAGAUGCUGGCAGCAGCAGUGACGUGAGAUUGAAAAAUCACUAAAAAUAGUAGGAGUGGAAUUAAUUGAUGAAUAAAUUAUGUAUUCGAAGCUCAUUGAGUCUAUUUUCAUAUAGAAGCAACGAAAAGAUCAUAUGGACAGUAUUUUAAGAGAUAUUCAGGUUCUCGUGAGACAGACCAGAACGGUUUCUGGAUUCCCUGUUCCGACUUUGGAAAUUCAUUAUAAAUUAACCAGAGAUAAUUAGGAGUCAUACCAUAUAUAUAUAGAUUCCUCUCUGAGUCUAGUUUCUAUAGAAACAAACGGAAUCAGUAUUGAAUCUCUGUUCAGGGAGAUAUCCAAGUCGUAAUGCGCAAAGGUCAGUGUAGUCGAUCCCUGUAACAUGGGAGAAUUUGACUAAUAAACUGUACUAAUUGGCCCGACCAAAAAUUAUAAAAAAAAAUUGUACCAUAUAGGUAUAUGAGUCUAGUUUCAGGGAAAAUUUACGGAACUGGAUUUCGAGUUCCAGAACUCAAGAUAUGAAUUUUUAAGUGACUAGUACGUAGACUGGCAGCUUGUCUGGGAAAUUUUUUUUAAGUGGUUUGAAGUCUGUUAACACCUCGUGUUCGACUCCGGCGACGGCCUCGGGUUCGGGGUGUUACAAAAUUGCUUUGAAAUAUUAAUUAGGAGGUCUUAAAUGGAAAUUUGACCAAUUUCUAAGUGAUGGAAAAAAAUUGGACAUAGAUGGAAUUUUUGAAAGUUUAGUAAGGAAGGGCAUUUUGGUCAUUUGGUAAUUAAAAGAAAUAAAAAGGGAAAAUAAAGCCAAAAUUGACUCAUCCUUCUCAUGGAGGCCGAAAUUAGCAUGGGGGAAGCCAUGGCUAGGGUUUUCAAGCUUUCCAAGCUCAAUAGUAAGUCCGUUCUAACCCUGUUUUUUCAAGUUCUUUACGUUUUUGGAAUCCCGGUAAUUUGAUUAAGCAUAUUCUAGCAAUAAUUUAAGCCAGGGUUCAUAUUUGGAAAAAUAUCCAUAGCUAAAAUGUGUUUAUUUUGGUGUUUUAUGAUGGAAUAUGAGGUUUUAAAUUAUGUUAGACAACUUGUGUUACUCGGUUUUGAGUGAAAAUGAGUAAAAUGGCUUAAUCGGUAAAAAUACCUAAUAGUCAUAAGUAUAUGUUAGAGUGAGAAUUUGAUGUUGCCAUAGAAGGGAAAAGUGAUCAGCAUGUCAUAAAACAUAAGAAUAAGGGAUGAAGUUUAAUUCCCGAGCCUAGGGGCAAAACUGUAAAUAUGCAAAAGUUUAGGGGCAAAAUUGUAAUUUUUCCAAAGUUUGAGUUAAUGACUAUUUUGAAUAGUACAUUCAUUAAAUAAGUAAGAUAUGAUGUUUUAGAUCCCGAAAAAUGAGUUUUGAACCUAGAAUGAGAGAAAAAUCGAAAAUUGGAAAAGUUGGUAAAAUGGCCGUUUUAGUAUCGAGGUAAGUUCAUAUGUAUAAUAAGCAUUAAUGUAUGCAUGUUUCAAUGUAAAAUUGAUAUAUUCAUUAUGAUUUUCGAGGUGUUGAAAGUAUGUAAGUUGGUAUGAUAAUAAUACAGCAAUAAUGCUGUAAUUUAUAUUUGAAAGUUAAAUUUAGUGAAUUAAUUGAAUUAUAUUAAAUUAAAUGAUUAUGGUGCCAAGUUUAUGAAUUGAUUUAAAAAUAUGUCUAUGGUACAUGAAGUGCAUUGAAUUAUCAUACAUAAAUGUGAUUUCUAUGAUUAUGGAUAUUAUGGGAAAUUGUAAGUUCAUAUGAUUUUUAAUAAGGCAAUGUGUAAUUUAAUGUUAUUGCCUUGAUAUUAAAUGAGAUGUAAGUUUAUAUGUAAGUAAUACGUCAAUAUUACUUGUAUUAUGAUAUUUUAUAAUAAUAUUGGAAAUAUGUUUGUGGAUAAUUACUUGAUUGGUGAAGUUGUUGGAAAAGAGAGAGAAAUCCCAGUUGAACCUUCAGAAAGAUUGGAUGAUACAGAUAGUAUGUAACUAGGUCACAUGUAUGGUGCUGAGUGCACAUCAUGUGUACAAGAGAGCUACAAGAAAUUAUGAUGUAGGUAGGUCGCAUGGGUGAUACUAUGUGUACACCAGGUAGGCAAGAGAGCUACGGGAUAUAUGUAGUUAGGUCGCAUGCGUGGUUCCAGGUGAAGGACACCAUGUAGACAAGAGAGCUACGAGAUAAAUUAGCUAGGUCACAUGGGUGGUACUGAGUGUUCACGAUGUGUACAAGAGAGCUGAACUAUAUGAUGGGUGGAGCUAUGUACUGAAACCACCAAGUAUCGAGGAUUGAUCCGAAGUGUUCAACGGGAGACUCUCUAUGUAUUGCUUUGUGAGUUUUGUGAUGAAUAAGUACAGGAACUUGGUUAUGUGAAUGAUGUGUACAUUAAGUGACCGGGAUGUGGUAAGGUUAUAAACAAGUAAGUUAUACAUGAGGAUGAUUUUAUGGUGACCUUGUGAUCAUGGGCCUAUACUUGUGAUGUAUGAAAUGUGGUGAAAAUGAUUUGUGAUAUGUAUGUUAAAAUGAGGUUAAUACAAAGAAAGUGUGAAAGAUGAAUUAGCAAUAAAACUGUUUUGGACAGUAACAGUGACGUAAUUUUGAAAAAUCACCAAAAAUAUUAUAAAUUGAAUCAGAGACUGAAUGAGAUAUCAAAUUAAAGCUUAAUGAGUCUAUUUCAUAUAAAAGAAACAUACAAGAAAAGGAGUUCUAUAUUUUGAUAUAUUUAUGUUUUUGUGAGACUGGUUCAAAAUGAUUACGUGAUCCCCUGUUCUGACUUUGGAAAAUCACAAAAUUUUGGAUAAAAAUAAUUAGAGGCUUAAAAUUAUAUUUUUAAAAUCCCUAAUGAGUCUAUUUUCAAGAUAAAUCAACAAUAACAUUAUCCGAGUUCUGUACUGUGAGAUAAUUAAUUUUUAGUGAAGAGAGGUCAGAACUAUCAGAAAGUGAAUAGGGGAAAUUUUCAUGAAUAAACUGUACUAAUUGGCUAAACCAAAAAUUAUGAAAAUUUUAUGAUGGAAAGAUGUGUGAGUCUAGUUUUAGAGGAAAUUUACGGAUCUUAAUUUGGAUCUCUGUAGCUCGCAUUAUAAAUAAGUAAGUGACUAUGACUCAUGUAGACAAUUUGAUGUGAGCAUUUAUUAGUAAAUUGUGAAAUCGUACUUACAAGAAUGCUAUAUACAUUAAGGAUGUGGAAUGGAGAGGAGGAGGAAGAAAAUAAAUAUAUGUGGAAUACAGGGAAACUAUGGUAUAUGAAAUAUUGAUAUAAUGAAAUAAAUGAUAUGUGUUUAUAAGAAAACAGAAAGAGAAUGUUAUGUAUCAUGACAUGUAUAUAUAUAUAUGACUAGUCUCAAUGUAAUGCUUGUUGGGUAUGGAGUUGAAUUGAAAUGUUUCAGGCAAACAUGUUAUUUUGCGUAUCUGAAUUAUGGUAUUUUAUAAAGAUAUGAUCUAGUUUUAAAUAUGAAUGCUUGAUGAUUAAGCUGAAGAUAUUUUGUAAGAUGAUAAUCUUGGUAUAAAUGUAUAAGUGGUACUAUAACAAACAAGGUAAAAUGAGUAUGAGAGACACAUGUACGAUGACAUACAAAUGCUAUGUUUGUGGUUUAAUUGAGAAUAUUUAAUCAUUAAAUAAAUACCAUGUUAUAUGCUUUUGAUUUUGUAUAAGUGUGUAAGAGAUUAAGGUUGACCAAAGCUUGGAAAAUAGCCUAGGUAUAUUCCACACAGGCAGAGACACGACCAUGUGUCUCAGCCAUGUAUGGAACACGACUUUGGGACACAGGCGUGUGGAGCCUUAAAGCAUGAAAUUUCCAAGAUUUUCGUAAGUUCUCGGUUUAGUCCCGAACCCUUUCUAAAGUAUGUUUUGGGCUUCGUAGACUCAAAUAAGGGACUAUGUGUAAGUGAAUGAACGUUUUGAAAUAUGAAUGAAAUUUUAUGGCCCGUAUUUUAGUUUAAUGUUUGUAUGUUUGUCCGGUAACGCCUCGUACCUUAUCCCAGCCUCGGGUACGGGUAAGGGGUAUUACAUAGACUUACCUCGUACGGAUUCAGAUAGACGGAAUCGGCUACUUGACGACUUUCGACUUUCCCCGAUCUAAUUUCAUUUUCUUUAAUUCUUGAUCUAUAUAAAUUAAAAUUUAACUUAUUAAAACUCACAUUCUUUCAAAUUAAUCCAAAAACACGCAUUUAGGGCAUUUUACAAAUUAGCCCUCAUAUUUUCACAUUUUAACAAUUUAGUCCCUAAUUCAUAAAAUCACAAAAUACACAAAAUUUCUUUAGACAUAUGCUUGGCCGAAUAUUCCUAUAGUUCAUACAAGCCCUCAUAUUUCAUUUAUUUCACAUUUUAGUCCCUCAAUUUACAAAUUUCAUAAUUUAGUCCAAAUUACUCAAAUUCAUCAGAAAUCAAAUACAAAAUAUGUUAACCCAAAACAUAUCUUUCAUUUACCAAAAACUAACUUCACAAAGCUCAUAAUUUCAUCAAUGGCUCAACCCAAAAUCAUCAACAAAAUCAGAAAUUGAGACAUGGGCUUGAUGGUAUACAGAGCAACGAUUACAAAAACAUAGAAAUUAUCAAAAACCGAAACAAAAACAUACCUAAUUCAAAGCUUAAUAGUGUCGAACCCUAGCAAGCUUUUGUCUUUUCUUUCUCUUUGAUAUAAUCGGCCAAAUGAUGAGAAUAUGAAGCAAAUAUCAUGUUUUCUUUAACUAAUAACAUCAAUUCAUCUUUUACCAUUUUAGCCUUAAUAUAAUAAACAUUUAAACAUGUAAUGGUUGUCCAAAAAUGUCCAUUUAAUAUAUCAAUGGUCCAUUUACAAAUAAGGACCUCACAUUUAAAGAGAUACAUCAAAUAGGCACUUUAACAAAUAGCAGGAAACUUUUACAUUUUACGUGAUUAGGUCUUUUUAUCAAAUUGAGCACACAAUUGAUCAAAUUUUCAUACAAAACUUUCACACAUGUCAAUUCACAUAUAAUAAACACGGAAAAUAAUAUUAAAAUAUUUUUUACUCAAAUUUGUGGUCCCAAAACUACUAUUCUGACUAGGGUCUAAACCAGACUGUUACAUUAACACAAUGCAGGCUAAAUUGGAGAACAAGCAAUAAAAUGGGGUCAAAUUGAAAAUUUUAAGAAAUUUAUAGCUGAUCAGGUUUUCUAUUUGACUUUGUAAAAGCUAGAUUAGAAAAAUUUUGAUUUUAUAUGGUUGGUUGUUGGAUGAAUCAUGUUAAAAUUAGCAUAUGAAAUGUAUAUAAACACCAUGUAUGGUGGCUUUGGAAAAUACACUUGAGAUUGAAUAAAAUAUAGUUUGUUUUCUCUCAUCUCUUUCCUGCGUCUUUAGCAAAGUUUGCGAGCAUUCUGCCAUUUCACUUUCUUUUCCUUGUUUUUUAACAUUUUUGGUUCAAUUGCUUCCAAAGUCCUUCCUCCUUUCCACUAUUCAUCAUUACCAUUAAAUUCCUUCCCAUAAAUCAACAAAGCAUGAUUAAUUUCAUGCUCAACUAAUUUCCUUUUAGCUUUAGCUCGAUUAUCAUUUCGACAAAAAAAUCGUGAGAUAUGAACCCACAUUAAAAAAGACCUUUCAAGACUAUAUUUGCUAUCUCUUCGGUAUAUGGGGUAGUCACAAUCAUCCCUUAAAGUUGAUACAAUUUCAAAUCAAAGUGUAAGUUGCGUGGGAGUUGUAUUGGCAUACAGUUGGGAAAACAAGGCAAUCGGUCGUUAAGUUUGAAUUCCCACGAAGAAAUUGGUGUGUUCAAUUGGAAAAAGCUAGCUGGAUUCUGUCAAGGGAGAGAGUGAUCAAAUUUAAAUGACCUACACGGUUGAGGCCGUUAAUACGAGCUAGGUUUUUCUAGAUCGAAAGGCCACCAAGAUUUUAAAUUGCAAACACGUAUUACGUGGUUAGAUAAUUAGUAAGGGUUAGUUUGUAGGUCAUACCAGAACCAACUACAUAAGGAAAAGUUGGCAGUUGGGGCAUCAUUGAUCAUUAUAACCAGCUUAUCGUUUAGAAAAAAAAUUUACUUUCAAGGAUCUAUUCAAUUUCGGAGUGUACCGACGCUAAGGCUAAGCAUUAAUAUAUUUUAUUCACCAAUUUAAUUUAAUUUCCUUAAUUUUAUUUUGCAAUCAUAAUUCUAUUAUUAUUUUAUUUUAUAUAUUUAUCUUAUUUUCUUUAUCAACUAAGUACCCCCUUUUUAUUUAUUUUAAAGCUCUGCACGCAUAGGUCAUAGGCAUGACAGCUACCUAGACUUAGACUUAUGGUCACGUAAACAGGAAAAUUAGGAAACCCAAUCCCUUUGAGAUUUUCCCUACUACUCUAUAUUACUAUUUAAUUAACUUAGAUCACAGGAAAAUUGUAUUUGGUGGUUUCGACGCCCAUCAAUCAGAUAAGUAGUUUGCAUUGAAGCAACGAUAAAAUUAGGAGGAAACCACCACGGACAAUUUUAGGAGAAUCACCGAAAUCGUCUUAGAGUUUUCUCUUCCUUUCUCAUUUACUUGUUCUAAUUUUAAAAAAAAAUUGCAAAUUAUUUGAUUGCUUUUUAUUUAAUGAUAAUGACUUAAUUUGUUUCUACUAGAAUGAUUGCAAGUUCUUGAUUUAAUGAGUUCAAUUUAUGUUUAUAAUGUUUUGUGCCCCAAUUAUUUAUGCUUCCAAAUAAAAUCAUUUAUGUUUUUCAUACAUUAAAAUAUGCUUGACUGCAUUAGAAUUAAUUGCUUAAUCAAAACUGGAUGGUGAUUAAUGGACACAAUAUUUGGAAGUGCAUGUUUAAUCUAUAUUCAAUAGAAAUAGGUUAAAGUUUGUGAUAAUUCGAAAGAACCCUAUCACCUUGCAUAACUUUUAGAUUUAUGUGAUUAAAUUGUUUCAUAUAGGAACAUCCUUUUUACUUUGCAUAAAUUCUAAGAAAUGGUGGUUAAAAUUGCAAUCCUUGGUUAAAUUAUGACAUAGACAUAUGUAUGUUUUUAUAAGUGACUAUCAAAAGACUUCAACAGAAGCUUAUAAAUUUUAGAUUUCAAGGUAAUAGAUAAUCGAGUUGCUAUGGAUUUUUUUCUCGAAACAUUUAUUAAGCAUAAUUACGAAUGAAUUAAGUCAAGAGUUGUAAUUGUUCUAACUCAUUCAUGUUAUUGUUAUUAGAUCUUAUGAAUUGUUACUUAAACAUUUUAUUGCAUUUUUUAUUUACAUUUGCAUAUUAAUCAUUAAUUUAGGUUAAUUAGAACAUUCAUCACUUUCCAAGUAUUUUAUCUUCUUACCAACUUUUUAAAUAUUAAUUUUCUAUCUAUUGAUUAUCAAUACAGCCCCUGUGGGAACGAUACUUUUUUACUCACUUAUUACUUGAUAACGAUUGUGUAUACAUGCACAUUUCAUUGCGAAACAAGCACCAAUCAAUGAAGGCUCGUUCAAGGGCAUCUUGGUAACAAAUUAGGUCAGAAAUUGCAACUAAAUCAGCCAAAAUUGGUUAAGGAGAGAGUAGGCCACAUGAGUUUUAGUUUUUGCUUUAGUUUCUUUUAGUUUUCUCUUAGGAUUUUCUUCUUCAUUUUCUAGGGUUUCUUUUUUCAUCUUCAUCAUUAGUGUAGUGUUUAUUUUUCCUGCACUUUAUUGUUGUUCUUAUUGUUCUUUAGUGGUAGUUAAGUUUGUUAACACUAUAACUAGGGUUAAAUUGCACUUUUAGCACAUUUCCUUCAGUUCUAAUGACAUUUUCAUCUUUGCUUAAUGUAUUAUCAGUUUUCUUUAGUUUGAGUUGUUAAAGUUUGUACUUUUAAUGUUUCUUGCUUCUUGUUUUGCUAUUAGAUGUUCAUCUUUACUUUGUUUUUUAGUUUUCUUCAUUGAAAAUCCCAACUUUCAUAUUUUUCUUGAGCUUUUCUUUAAUAGUUUCCAUGGUUGUUAUUUUUAUGUUUAUUAGUUUAGUUUUUAACAUAAGUAACUAAACUUUUAAGGGAAUUGGUUGAUGGAGAUGUGGGUAAGCUAAUUUUUGGUUAAGGGACUAAAUUGAAACAAAUUGGACAAAUUAAAUGAACACAAAAACUUAGGAUUUACGCCCUAAGAGGGAAGCUUUAGGCAAGUGAGACCAAGAGGUAAUCUUGUUGAGCACCAAUUCUUCAAUCCCAGGUUAGCUGGUGAGAUCGAGAGAUAAACCGAACCAAUUUGCCUAAUUUGCUAAUGUUGAGACUAAAAGGUAAAACAAAAUCGCUUUAGGAUUUUAAGCAAUUUAGAACCUCAAUUAAAUGGUUAUGGAACCACAUCAAAGUCAAUGAACCACCGUUUGUUAAUUAUUCGUGAAUUUCAUAACUUUGUACUUUUUAUGAUUUAGUCCUUCAGGUAGUUAAUCAAUAUUUUAGGUUAUUCACUCAUCAUUUUAUGAUUUCCCGUAAUAUAGCUUUUAGUGAUUAGUUGUUUAGACUACUUCUUUUGCAUGCUUGUAGCUAGGAAUUGCUCAACUACCUCCCCCUUCAGGUUAGACCCCUUUGAAUACUUCGUGUUCCAUCAGAACUAUUAAUAUUAUAACUGACAUUGUACGGUUACAGUUAAAAACUGUACUUUUAAAUUGCUUUAUAAAAUUUUUUUCUUUAUGUGCACACUGAUAGCAGUCAAGUUGUUGGAGUCUUUACCAAGGUGGUUGGUGCAAGAUUAAGUAAUUUCUUUUAGUUUAGUUGUAUGUUUUAUACGAGAUAAGUGACAAUAGUUUAAUUUAUAGAUACAACUUCUUCUUAUUUCUUUUUUUAUUUGGAAGUUCUGUAAUUUGUUUAUUUUCAUGAGUUUGUAAGAGAUGGUGUAUGACUCAAACCGGUAAUAGUGUCUUACUAUUCAAGCCAAAACUGAAACGUAUCAUUACACAUGUGAGAAGGGCUGAACAUCUGAGGGAUGCCCAACCUCCACAAAGAGACCAGUUGUUGGAAGACCAAGGAGUAGAAAGAAAACAACCACAACAACCACUGAUGGAAUAAAGAACCUUGCAUGACUAUGUUAUGCCAAAAUUAGAGGCUGUUCGGGGAAGCAUUAAUCGUCCGUGAUUAAUGCGAACAAACUCAAAACCAAAUCAAUGAUAAUCCAGGUGAUAAAAGUGACCACCUAUAAACUUGUUAUCGUUUAUAGUAUAAAUAUCACACCAAAAAUGUAUAUAAUUUAAUCUCAUUGUCCACAAGCGUACAAGUCAAAUUGUAAUAUAGAAGUGUUACAACGGAACACUGGUAAGUAUUCCGAGGAUUGUACCGAAUGGAUUGCAAAUUGGAGAAAUUAUUAUUAAAUCAAUUACAGAAAGUAAUUACCAAUCUAAUCGAGUAACGAAUUAGUAGUGUUAAUCUAAAUAAAAAUUUUAAUUAAACUAAUGAAAUUAAUUAACCUAAAAUCAACCUAAUGGACCUUUCUAUUCCUAGUGUGGACAAUGUAAGCCUCUAGCCUAUGACCGAUUAAAUCCCUAAUUAUCUAAUUAAUUAUCCUAGAUCGAGUUAUUUAUCACCAUUAGUCAAGAAUACCCUUCUGGUCUCAUCUUCACUAAGGAUUACCACCUAAGUCACCAUUCUGGUUUCUUCCUAGGCAUACAGAUGCCCUCCCGAGCUCCCUGCUUGGUACAAGUUAUGUAACACCCUACUCGACAAAGUUCUAGUGACAUAACGAUGUUCAUACAAGCAAGGCAUAAAGAUUAAGUUCUAAGUACGUAUAUAAGGCUUAGAGAAUUAGUUAUGGUGCCUAACGUGGGAUUUGAUUAAGUAAUUUUCUAAGAGCGCCUAGUCUGACGGACUCUAAACUAAAGGAAAGGAACACUAGUAGGAAUAGUGUAUAAGUGUAAUGGAUUAAGAAAGAGUAACAUGUAAGUAAAUAUAUGUGAUAAGGCGCAUGGUUAUAAGUAAGUCUGAUUGGCGAAGUAGUGUUUGUCCAAGAGUUCGUCUUGGUGUUUAGCAUAGGCGAACCAAGAGUGUUUUGUCUGUAAGGACCUCUAUAAUAGGAAAGGUUAAGGAAUCAUAAUAAAAAGGAGAUGAAAUAUGAUUGGUCAGAUGGUAAACACCCAAAUGCACUCUUUUAAGCGUAUAAGAUUGGGCAAACUUCAAUAUAAAUUAGUGGACAUGAAUUCUCAGUCAAAUUACAAUGAUAAGUGAAAUCUGACUAGUAACCAUCAAAGACAUGAACUAAAGGAAUGGGUAUAUGCCCCUGAUAUAGCAUAAAUGUAACUAAUAUGGUCCCGUGCCAGUCAAUGUAAGAGAUAGCUAGUUUAGAACUAACUAAAUGAGAACUAGAAAAGUUGAAGGCUAAUGAGAUAGCUAAGCACUUUCUAAAAAGUGGUAGACAAUGGGAAAAAACAGCUCAGUUCUGAUUUGACGUUUACCUAGUUCCAAAGAAGAUUGGGUUAAGUUAAAGAGUACUCAAGUUAAGUUAAAGGAAAGUUGCCUUCCUCUUUAAAUCUGAGGGUUAAGGUGGAGAGAAACAUCUCUCUCUGGAAGCUAAGUCUGAAAGCUCUGGUUUUAUUGAGAAGUCUACCUCCUAUUAAGGUAAGUCCCCCAAUUUUUCUUGUUGAAAACACAGAUCUGUAAGUAUGUAUGAAGAAAUGAAGCUACGUUUGAGUUAAAAGUGAUGAUAAAGGUUGCCUGAAUGAGUUCUAAUGAAAUGUUUCUGUCUGUCAAGGGAAAAUGAGGUUGUAGCAUCUAACUAGCCAAAGGAUCUAGAGUCAAGCUGAGGAUAUUACAAAGAAAGCUUAAAUUUGAAGUUUAAGCUACAUUUAAGGCUAACAGAUGAGUCUUUAAAAUGACUCUUACUGGAAUGUUUGCAUGAUAGUCUUGAUUGUUUAGAAAGGCUAACCUAUGAAAUGGAAACUUAAAAUAUGCAAGUGUGAUGCUUAAAGAUGAUAUGUCUCUGUUAUGAAGAAAGAAUAAGUUUGAUAAUAUGUUUCUAUUCUGAAGAAAGUAUAUACAUGCAUGAAUACGUCUGAAAGUAUGAUUCUAUCAUGAACAAGUCUCUGUAUGAAGUUCAAGUACAUGAGUUACAUAUCUGAAAAUGUAAAUGCAUCAGUGUGAAGAAAUAUGAAAGAGUAAGUCUGUUAAGUAUGAGUCUCAUAAAGAGUCUAUGCAUAAGUUACAUGAGUCGCAUAAGUCUGCAUGUUGAGUCUGCUUGCGUGUGAGUCUGUCAGGACAGUAAACACAAAUUCUGAUAUGGAAGUCCAUGGCCAUGACAAGAAGACCAUAUAGUGUAAGACCUAGCUUGAGACUAUGGCAUCAUAUGGGGNNNNNNNNNNNNNNNNNNNNNNNNNNNNNNNNNNNNNNNNNNNNNNNNNNNNNNNNNNNNNNNNNNNNNNNNNNNNNNNNNNNNNNNNNNNNNNNNNNNNNNNNNNNNNNNNNNNNNNNNNNNNNNNNNNNNNNNNNNNNNNNNNNNNNNNNNNNNNNNNNNNNNNNNNNNNNNNNNNNNNNNNNNNNNNNNNNNNNNNNNNNNNNNNNNNNNNNNNNNNNNNNNNNNNNNNNNNNNNNNNNNNNNNNNNNNNNNNNNNNNNNNNNNNNNNNNNNNNNNNNNNNNNNNNNNNNNNNNNNNNNNNNNNNNNNNNNNNNNNNNNNNNNNNNNNNNNNNNNNNNNNNNNNNNNNNNNNNNNNNNNNNNNNNNNNNNNNNNNNNNNNNNNNNNNNNNNNNNNNNNNNNNNNNNNNNNNNNNNNNNNNNNNNNNNNNNNNNNNNNNNNNNNNNNNNNNNNNNNNNNNNNNNNNNNNNNNNNNNNNNNNNNNNNNNNNNNNNNNNNAAAACUACUAUUCUGACUAGGGUCUAAACCAGACUGUUACAUUAACACAAUGCAGGCUAAAUUGGAGAACAAGCAAUAAAAUGGGGUCAAAUUGAAAAUUUUAAGAAAUUUAUAGCUGAUCAGGUUUUCUAUUUGACUUUGUAAAAGCUAGAUUAGAAAAAUUUUGAUUUUAUAUGGUUGGUUGUUGGAUGAAUCAUGUUAAAAUUAGCAUAUGAAAUGUAUAUAAACACCAUGUAUGGUGGCUUUGGAAAAUACACUUGAGAUUGAAUAAAAUAUAGUUUGUUUUCUCUCAUCUCUUUCCUGCGUCUUUAGCAAAGUUUGCGAGCAUUCUGCCAUUUCACUUUCUUUUCCUUGUUUUUUAACAUUUUUGGUUCAAUUGCUUCCAAAGUCCUUCCUCCUUUCCACUAUUCAUCAUUACCAUUAAAUUCCUUCCCAUAAAUCAACAAAGCAUGAUUAAUUUCAUGCUCAACUAAUUUCCUUUUAGCUUUAGCUCGAUUAUCAUUUCGACAAAAAAAUCGUGAGAUAUGAACCCACAUUAAAAAAGACCUUUCAAGACUAUAUUUGCUAUCUCUUCGGUAUAUGGGGUAGUCACAAUCAUCCCUUAAAGUUGAUACAAUUUCAAAUCAAAGUGUAAGUUGCGUGGGAGUUGUAUUGGCAUACAGUUGGGAAAACAAGGCAAUCGGUCGUUAAGUUUGAAUUCCCACGAAGAAAUUGGUGUGUUCAAUUGGAAAAAGCUAGCUGGAUUCUGUCAAGGGAGAGAGUGAUCAAAUUUAAAUGACCUACACGGUUGAGGCCGUUAAUACGAGCUAGGUUUUCUAGAUCGAAAGGCCACCAAGAUUUUAAAUUGCAAACACGUAUUACGUGGUUAGAUAAUUAGUAAGGGUUAGUUUGUAGGUCAUACCAGAACCAACUACAUAAGGAAAAGUUGGCAGUUGGGGCAUCAUUGAUCAUUAUAACCAGCUUAUCGUUUAGAAAAAAAAUUUACUUUCAAGGAUCUAUUCAAUUUCGGAGUGUACCGACGCUAAGGCUAAGCAUUAAUAUAUUUUAUUCACCAAUUUAAUUUAAUUUCCUUAAUUUUAUUUUGCAAUCAUAAUUCUAUUAUUAUUUUAUUUUAUAUAUUUAUCUUAUUUUCUUUAUCAACUAAGUACCCCCUUUUUAUUUAUUUUAAAGCUCUGCACGCAUAGGUCAUAGGCAUGACAGCUACCUAGACUUAGACUUAUGGUCACGUAAACAGGAAAAUUAGGAAACCCAAUCCCUUUGAGAUUUUCCCUACUACUCUAUAUUACUAUUUAAUUAACUUAGAUCACAGGAAAAUUGUAUUUGGUGGUUUCGACGCCCAUCAAUCAGAUAAGUAGUUUGCAUUGAAGCAACGAUAAAAUUAGGAGGAAACCACCACGGACAAUUUUAGGAGAAUCACCGAAAUCGUCUUAGAGUUUUCUCUUCCUUUCUCAUUUACUUGUUCUAAUUUUAAAAAAAAAUUGCAAAUUAUUUGAUUGCUUUUUAUUUAAUGAUAAUGACUUAAUUUGUUUCUACUAGAAUGAUUGCAAGUUCUUGAUUUAAUGAGUUCAAUUUAUGUUUAUAAUGUUUUGUGCCCCAAUUAUUUAUGCUUCCAAAUAAAAUCAUUUAUGUUUUUCAUACAUUAAAAUAUGCUUGACUGCAUUAGAAUUAAUUGCUUAAUCAAAACUGGAUGGUGAUUAAUGGACACAAUAUUUGGAAGUGCAUGUUUAAUCUAUAUUCAAUAGAAAUAGGUUAAAGUUUGUGAUAAUUCGAAAGAACCCUAUCACCUUGCAUAACUUUUAGAUUUAUGUGAUUAAAUUGUUUCAUAUAGGAACAUCCUUUUUACUUUGCAUAAAUUCUAAGAAAUGGUGGUUAAAAUUGCAAUCCUUGGUUAAAUUAUGACAUAGACAUAUGUAUGUUUUUAUAAGUGACUAUCAAAAGACUUCAACAGAAGCUUAUAAAUUUUAGAUUUCAAGGUAAUAGAUAAUCGAGUUGCUAUGGAUUUUUUUCUCGAAACAUUUAUUAAGCAUAAUUACGAAUGAAUUAAGUCAAGAGUUGUAAUUGUUCUAACUCAUUCAUGUUAUUGUUAUUAGAUCUUAUGAAUUGUUACUUAAACAUUUUAUUGCAUUUUUUAUUUACAUUUGCAUAUUAAUCAUUAAUUUAGGUUAAUUAGAACAUUCAUCACUUUCCAAGUAUUUUAUCUUCUUACCAACUUUUUAAAUAUUAAUUUUCUAUCUAUUGAUUAUCAAUACAGCCCCUGUGGGAACGAUACUUUUUUACUCACUUAUUACUUGAUAACGAUUGUGUAUACAUGCACAUUUCAUUGCGAAACAAGCACCAAUCAAUGAAGGCUCGUUCAAGGGCAUCUUGGUAACAAAUUAGGUCAGAAAUUGCAACUAAAUCAGCCAAAAUUGGUUAAGGAGAGAGUAGGCCACAUGAGUUUUAGUUUUUGCUUUAGUUUCUUUUAGUUUUCUCUUAGGAUUUUCUUCUUCAUUUUCUAGGGUUUCUUUUUUCAUCUUCAUCAUUAGUGUAGUGUUUAUUUUUCCUGCACUUUAUUGUUGUUCUUAUUGUUCUUUAGUGGUAGUUAAGUUUGUUAACACUAUAACUAGGGUUAAAUUGCACUUUUAGCACAUUUCCUUCAGUUCUAAUGACAUUUUCAUCUUUGCUUAAUGUAUUAUCAGUUUUCUUUAGUUUGAGUUGUUAAAGUUUGUACUUUUAAUGUUUCUUGCUUCUUGUUUUGCUAUUAGAUGUUCAUCUUUACUUUGUUUUUUAGUUUUCUUCAUUGAAAAUCCCAACUUUCAUAUUUUUCUUGAGCUUUUCUUUAAUAGUUUCCAUGGUUGUUAUUUUUAUGUUUAUUAGUUUAGUUUUUAACAUAAGUAACUAAACUUUUAAGGGAAUUGGUUGAUGGAGAUGUGGGUAAGCUAAUUUUUGGUUAAGGGACUAAAUUGAAACAAAUUGGACAAAUUAAAUGAACACAAAAACUUAGGAUUUACGCCCUAAGAGGGAAGCUUUAGGCAAGUGAGACCAAGAGGUAAUCUUGUUGAGCACCAAUUCUUCAAUCCCAGGUUAGCUGGUGAGAUCGAGAGAUAAACCGAACCAAUUUGCCUAAUUUGCUAAUGUUGAGACUAAAAGGUAAAACAAAAUCGCUUUAGGAUUUUAAGCAAUUUAGAACCUCAAUUAAAUGGUUAUGGAACCACAUCAAAGUCAAUGAACCACCGUUUGUUAAUUAUUCGUGAAUUUCAUAACUUUGUACUUUUUAUGAUUUAGUCCUUCAGGUAGUUAAUCAAUAUUUUAGGUUAUUCACUCAUCAUUUUAUGAUUUCCCGUAAUAUAGCUUUUAGUGAUUAGUUGUUUAGACUACUUCUUUUGCAUGCUUGUAGCUAGGAAUUGCUCAACUACCUCCCCCUUCAGGUUAGACCCCUUUGAAUACUUCGUGUUCCAUCAGAACUAUUAAUAUUAUAACUGACAUUGUACGGUUACAGUUAAAAACUGUACUUUUAAAUUGCUUUAUAAAAUUUUUUUCUUUAUGUGCACACUGAUAGCAGUCAAGUUGUUGGAGUCUUUACCAAGGUGGUUGGUGCAAGAUUAAGUAAUUUCUUUUAGUUUAGUUGUAUGUUUUAUACGAGAUAAGUGACAAUAGUUUAAUUUAUAGAUACAACUUCUUCUUAUUUCUUUUUUUAUUUGGAAGUUCUGUAAUUUGUUUAUUUUCAUGAGUUUGUAAGAGAUGGUGUAUGACUCAAACCGGUAAUAGUGUCUUACUAUUCAAGCCAAAACUGAAACGUAUCAUUACACAUGUGAGAAGGGCUGAACAUCUGAGGGAUGCCCAACCUCCACAAAGAGACCAGUUGUUGGAAGACCAAGGAGUAGAAAGAAAACAACCACAACAACCACUGAUGGAAUAAAGAACCUUGCAUGACUAUGUUAUGCCAAAAUUAGAGGCUGUUCGGGGAAGCAUUAAUCGUCCGUGAUUAAUGCGAACAAACUCAAAACCAAAUCAAUGAUAAUCCAGGUGAUAAAAGUGACCACCUAUAAACUUGUUAUCGUUUAUAGUAUAAAUAUCACACCAAAAAUGUAUAUAAUUUAAUCUCAUUGUCCACAAGCGUACAAGUCAAAUUGUAAUAUAGAAGUGUUACAACGGAACACUGGUAAGUAUUCCGAGGAUUGUACCGAAUGGAUUGCAAAUUGGAGAAAUUAUUAUUAAAUCAAUUACAGAAAGUAAUUACCAAUCUAAUCGAGUAACGAAUUAGUAGUGUUAAUCUAAAUAAAAAUUUUAAUUAAACUAAUGAAAUUAAUUAACCUAAAAUCAACCUAAUGGACCUUUCUAUUCCUAGUGUGGACAAUGUAAGCCUCUAGCCUAUGACCGAUUAAAUCCCUAAUUAUCUAAUUAAUUAUCCUAGAUCGAGUUAUUUAUCACCAUUAGUCAAGAAUACCCUUCUGGUCUCAUCUUCACUAAGGAUUACCACCUAAGUCACCAUUCUGGUUUCUUCCUAGGCAUACAGAUGCCCUCCCGAGCUCCCUGCUUGGUACAAGUUAUGUAACACCCUACUCGACAAAGUUCUAGUGACAUAACGAUGUUCAUACAAGCAAGGCAUAAAGAUUAAGUUCUAAGUACGUAUAUAAGGCUUAGAGAAUUAGUUAUGGUGCCUAACGUGGGAUUUGAUUAAGUAAUUUUCUAAGAGCGCCUAGUCUGACGGACUCUAAACUAAAGGAAAGGAACACUAGUAGGAAUAGUGUAUAAGUGUAAUGGAUUAAGAAAGAGUAACAUGUAAGUAAAUAUAUGUGAUAAGGCGCAUGGUUAUAAGUAAGUCUGAUUGGCGAAGUAGUGUUUGUCCAAGAGUUCGUCUUGGUGUUUAGCAUAGGCGAACCAAGAGUGUUUUGUCUGUAAGGACCUCUAUAAUAGGAAAGGUUAAGGAAUCAUAAUAAAAAGGAGAUGAAAUAUGAUUGGUCAGAUGGUAAACACCCAAAUGCACUCUUUUAAGCGUAUAAGAUUGGGCAAACUUCAAUAUAAAUUAGUGGACAUGAAUUCUCAGUCAAAUUACAAUGAUAAGUGAAAUCUGACUAGUAACCAUCAAAGACAUGAACUAAAGGAAUGGGUAUAUGCCCCUGAUAUAGCAUAAAUGUAACUAAUAUGGUCCCGUGCCAGUCAAUGUAAGAGAUAGCUAGUUUAGAACUAACUAAAUGAGAACUAGAAAAGUUGAAGGCUAAUGAGAUAGCUAAGCACUUUCUAAAAAGUGGUAGACAAUGGGAAAAAACAGCUCAGUUCUGAUUUGACGUUUACCUAGUUCCAAAGAAGAUUGGGUUAAGUUAAAGAGUACUCAAGUUAAGUUAAAGGAAAGUUGCCUUCCUCUUUAAAUCUGAGGGUUAAGGUGGAGAGAAACAUCUCUCUCUGGAAGCUAAGUCUGAAAGCUCUGGUUUUAUUGAGAAGUCUACCUCCUAUUAAGGUAAGUCCCCCAAUUUUUCUUGUUGAAAACACAGAUCUGUAAGUAUGUAUGAAGAAAUGAAGCUACGUUUGAGUUAAAAGUGAUGAUAAAGGUUGCCUGAAUGAGUUCUAAUGAAAUGUUUCUGUCUGUCAAGGGAAAAUGAGGUUGUAGCAUCUAACUAGCCAAAGGAUCUAGAGUCAAGCUGAGGAUAUUACAAAGAAAGCUUAAAUUUGAAGUUUAAGCUACAUUUAAGGCUAACAGAUGAGUCUUUAAAAUGACUCUUACUGGAAUGUUUGCAUGAUAGUCUUGAUUGUUUAGAAAGGCUAACCUAUGAAAUGGAAACUUAAAAUAUGCAAGUGUGAUGCUUAAAGAUGAUAUGUCUCUGUUAUGAAGAAAGAAUAAGUUUGAUAAUAUGUUUCUAUUCUGAAGAAAGUAUAUACAUGCAUGAAUACGUCUGAAAGUAUGAUUCUAUCAUGAACAAGUCUCUGUAUGAAGUUCAAGUACAUGAGUUACAUAUCUGAAAAUGUAAAUGCAUCAGUGUGAAGAAAUAUGAAAGAGUAAGUCUGUUAAGUAUGAGUCUCAUAAAGAGUCUAUGCAUAAGUUACAUGAGUCGCAUAAGUCUGCAUGUUGAGUCUGCUUGCGUGUGAGUCUGUCAGGACAGUAAACACAAAUUCUGAUAUGGAAGUCCAUGGCCAUGACAAGAAGACCAUAUAGUGUAAGACCUAGCUUGAGACUAUGGCAUCAUAUGGGGAUAAGAAGACCACAUAGUGUAAGACCUAGUCUGGGAAAAUCGCGUAAUGUUGAAAAAAGAUAAAAGACAGUUGAGCAAGUACCAGAUGAUGAGGGGUAAACCUCAAGAUGUUGAGUUUAGGCAAAUCCCUAUCAUCAAAAAUACCAUUUAUCAAAAUUUUAAAGCCUUUAUGGCUGUUCUCAUAUAUAUGGAAGCUUUUGAUGCUAUUCUCUGAUAAGUGGAAGCCUCUGUGGCUAUUCUCUGUUAUACGUGAGCCUUUAUAGUGAUAUCUGUUUUAUGGAGCCUUAGUUGUCAAUUCUGUGUAUACACCUUUCUAACGAAGUAUGUUAAAAUGGAUGCUUUUGUGGCUAAUUCUAUCCUAUGAAAGCCUUCGAGGCUUUAUCUCUUAAAUGCACCCUCAUGGUGGAGUUUUUCAAGGUGGACACCUUUGUGGCCACCUAACUAUAUUGACGACUCUAUGGUUAUCUUAUGUAUGUGUUUGGAUGCCCUUGUAGCUAUCUAAUGUGAGGAGGCACCUAUGCGGCUACCUAAAGUUAUGUGGAUGCCUUCAUGGCUAUCUAUAGUUACAGUGAAACCUCUAUGAUCAUCUAUGGUAAUAGAGAGAAUUAUAUAGUUACCUCAAAAGAAGAGCAAGACUUCAUGGUCAUUCAGUAAAGGAAAUCUUUGUGGUGAACUCUGUUAACGAAAUACAAACACAAUGAAGUCUGGGUAAAUGACUCUCUUAAGGAAAAGUAAAUAUAUGGUAUCAGAAAGAUGGCAAGUGUUAAGAAAAAAAAUGAAGUGAUGAUAUAGGGAAAAUAAAGAAUCUAAUGAACUAUGUCAGAAUGAUUCUGAAUGUUAAAGAUGAGGUAGACUCUGUAUAAAGGAAAAGGUAAAAUGGUCAGUAACGUGAAAAAUGCCAAAAUGAAAUAUGUGGUGACCACAAGAAAAGUAAAAACCCGAUAUGGAUUAGAAGAUGCAAAAGUGAUGAAUGACGCAUGUAGUACGCUCUUAAGGAAGUUUUAGUCAAUUUCAUAUGAACUGCACCAUAAGGGCAUAAGCCAAAGAAUACACAAAGUGUUUAAUACACUACGACUUAAUGAAAUAGGUGAUAGAGAUUUACUAUUUUCUCAAGACCUUACAUAAGUUAUUUCCUGUUUCAAGUUGCAAAGAAUAUCAUGCGGAGGGACGAUGCCAGGGCUACACUAGUAGAGUAGCGGUUUGUGCUGAUGUGCAUACAGAGAAGAGAAGUUUACGAGGGAGAAGCCUACUUAAAGAAUGGGAUAAGAAGCCAUAGUCUUCACAAAGAAAGGCUAUAAAAGUACAAGUCGAUUAUUGAUUAAGACUUCAAAGGUGAAAACAUUUAUAUCUUUAGUAAAAACAAGACGUAUUCAAUGAGUAUUGUAGUUUAUUGAUUAAGAAUGUAAAUCUGAAACAUAUAUUGUAUGUAAAGAUAUUCUUAAUGAAAUGCUUGAGGUAAUUUAGAACAAGAGUUAAAGAAAUUUUUUAAGCCAUCAUUAGAAUAGUUACAUAGGUUAGUCGAGAGAAAGUAUAGAUUACAUUUAUCUUAGGAAGUAACACCCAAUACUCGGAUUCAGAUGAUCGGGUCAGGUGGAGGGUGUUACAAGUUAUAUACUACAGGAUACCUUUGCAGUCUCACAUGUCUAGAUCUUCUAUUAAAGGCUUCACUCCAUAAUAUACUAAUUACUCUCGAAUAAACAACCAAUUUCAGAUAAAUAAUCACUUAAGAACUAAAUUAGUUUAUUAAUUGAAUCAUGAGAGAUAUAAAACAAACAUAAUAGUUUAUUUUAAUAUUCAUACAAUGAGUAAUCAGCCAAAUCAACGGAAUAUAAGUAAAAGAAUAGAAGAAAAGAGAUAAGAGAAUACUAAUGAAUAUAUGUUGAAGUGCAGAUCCAGAGCAAUCUCCGCUCGCGAUUGUCUUCACAAUGAAAUAGAAAAUUUUCGACUAAACGAACAUGAAAAGAAAAGGAAACUAAAAACUGAAUCGGAAAAAUUUUUCUGUCUACUUCUAUACACCAAAUCAAGUGACCCUAAGGUUGCUUAUAUAGGCAACGAGCUACUUGGUGACCACUCAACCCUAGAUACACUUAAAUACUAAUUAAUACAAUAUUUUGAUAAAGGUUAGGGUCCCAAUAUUGAAAUAUACCCAAAUUGUUGUCCAAAGAAUCAACAUAUUUUGGCUUGCCAUCGUCACAUCGUCAUAAGAGAGGAAACUCCUCGUCACGAUGUCAAUACCGUGAUAUCCUUCCCAUAUUCAUCGCAUCGUUAUAACAAGAGGAAGCUCCUCCUCACAACGUCAAGUGCUUUCCUGGCCUUGGCAGCUUCAUUGUGCUAUUGAGUUCCCUUAUCUCACAACCCGAACAUCAUCCCUUGUAUUCUUGGACCUAAAUUGUCAUCCUACACACUUAAAUAGCGCAUUAGUCACUCACGAGGCCCAAGUCAACCUUAUGGGUCAUCGAAAUAGAAGAAAAUGUGUAAAAAUGCUUAUUUUAUUACUAUUUAACUCCUAACCAACUAAUACUUAAAAUGCAAUACUUAAUUAUAGAAGUGUUAGAAAACAAACUCCUUAAGUAUAAAAAUAGAGUGAAAUAGAUACUACAUUUGACAUAAGGUAAACAAGCGAAUCUCUAAUUUCGGGGAUCAAGAAUUAGGAUCCUAACUAGCAUCUCAAGUGAUUCUUAACUAUUUAUGAUACCGUUAAGUACAAUGGAGUAUCAUAUGACGCUAUUCAUCUUCGAUUAUUCCCUUUCUCUCUUAUUGACGAUGCAUUUAUAUGGUUAGAUUCACAACUGGUAGAUUCAAUCAGUACGUGGGACGAGCUCACAAGCAACUUCUUGGCUAAGCACUUCCCCCUAGAAAAAUGAUGAAGCUCUAUAUGGACAUAAUGAAUUUUCAACAACUAGAAGAGGAGUCGCUUUAUGAGCCAUAGGAGUUGAUCUACCAUAAUUCAUUCUGGCAAAUUAGAGUUUUUUUAGAACUUAACGAGCUUGUUCUCUAGCUAUUUUAUAUGAUUUUAUUACAUUUUUAGUUUUUAUUAGUUUAUAUUCAAUUUUAGUAAAAUAAGUGUUUUUACGCAAAUUUUAGCAAUGUGAUGACCUAAUGGGCUAAUACGGGCCUAAGGAUGAACUAAAAAGUCAAUUGAGUGUGCAGGACAUUAUUUUCAGGCUAAGAACACAAAGGAUGAUGGCAGCGUCUCGACACUGGCAUGUGUUCUUGCAACACUUGACUUUAAAGCCAAAUAAAUUUCCCUUGAAAGGCAAUGUCGCAACACCGGAGUGACAAACUGGAAUUUUAAGUGUGUAUUUAGCCUCAAUUUAGGGGGCUUGGCCAAGUGAGCCAUUUAGAUUAGUUUUAGGAUUUUAUUUUAGUUUUAGUUUUCUUUCAAUUUAGUCCUUUAGUUGCAGAACAUAAUUUUUUUUCCUUUGUUUUAACUUGGAUUCAAUUUGAAUUCAAGCUUUUAUUUAAUUAGUUUAUAUUAAUUUCUUUUCAGUUUUUAAUUGCAUUCGAGAUUAUCUUCAUAACUAUCAAAGGAAUUUCAGAUUUCACAUGUAAAUUGAUAUCGAAACGAAUCAAUUUUGUUAUUCCCUUUUUCUAUUUAAUUCUUUACCUUGCAUGUUAAAAAUGACAUUGGGGAAAAUUUCAUCUAAAUCCAUGAGUGACUAAUUUCCUAGGGGAGAUUGACGAUCAAAUAUGGGAAUAUUUAACGAAUGAAUUAGGAUUUGUUUCUGAGUUAGUUGGCUUAAGUUAUGUACGAUUAAACCCUAGGAUUAACAACACUAGGAAGUAAUUUAGGAUAAAUGAGAUUGAAAGAUAAGUUUAUAGUGUAAAUCAUAAUUUAUCUCGAUAAAAAAAGUGAGGUCGAAAGAUAAGUAUUGGUCGAUUAGUUAAUUAGUUAGAGGCUAAAAGGUAAUAACUAGUUAAUUAAUAGAUAAUGCGAUAAAACCUAAACUUUGAAGUUAUUUAGGAAUAUUGAUGUGAGUUAAUCUUCUUCUUGUCUACCUGGAUUAAUUUCGACUGUGUAACACCCCUUACCCGGUUUGGUCGCCAAACCCGAGCUAUAAUGUAACAGCCUGAUUUUAGCUAAAUCAGAAUAAUGGUUUCGAAACCACAAAUCUGAGGUUAAAAAUUUAUUUUAAUAUUAUUUUUGGUAUUUACAGCAUGUGAAUAUAUAUGUGUGAAAAUUUCAUAAGAUAAUUUUAUCGUUUAAUACCUCAAUUUGAGAAAAAUGACUAAAUCGCGUAAAAUGCAAAAGUUGCAUUCCACUUGUUAAAAGUGUUUAAUUGUCAUGGCUUAUUAAAUGAAAGGUUCUUAAGUUGUAAUUAGACCAUGAUUAGUGGAACUUGACAUAACUGGCGAACCAUUAAAUGUUUAGUUAAUUUUUAAUUAAGGGUAAAAUAGUAAUUUAGUUAUUAAAGUUAAUUUAAUUAAAACAAAAGCCAAAAUUUGGCUUAUUUUCUUUCUUCUUGGCCUAAUAUACAAAGAAAAUAAAUAUUUGGAGAGCAUUUAGGGUUCGUCUCUAAUCUAGCUUGAUUAAGGUAUAAUUUGAGCUUGAUUUUUGAUGAUUUCUACGUUUUUGUGAUCGUUGCUUUGAGUACUAGCUAGCCCAUGCCUCAAUUUUUGAAAUUUUUGAUGAUUUUGACAGUUUUCUUUGAUGAAUUUAUGUGUUCUUGAAUAUUUGAUGAUGAAUUAUUAAAGCUUGAUGAUAGAUAUCUAUAUUUUAUAAAGUGAUUUUUAGUGAAAAUGCUUAAAUAGGAUUAAAUUGUGAAAAGUGUAAAUUGAGGGGCUAAAUUGUAAAAUAAAUGAAUAUUAUGGGCUGCUAGGGACCUAUAGAGAAUUCGGCUAAGCAUGAGUUUUGUCAAAUUUUGUGAAUUUUAUGUAUUUAUAAAAUAGUGACUAAAUUGAAUAAACGUGUAAUUUUAGGGGCUUAAGUGAAAAAAUGCCCAAAUAUGUGUUUGAGAUGAAAUUGAAUGUGUUUAUGAAUAAAAAGGUUAAUUUUGAAUGUAUAUAGAUCAAGAACGAAAGAAAUCGGAUUUAGAUCGGGAGAAAAUGAAAGUUAUCGAAUAGUUGACCCAUCCGUUUAUUCUGACUAUGAGGUAAGUUCAUAUACAAAUGAAUGCUUUUAAAUUGAAUUAUAUGUGUUUACUUGACAUUGAAUUGUUAUAAAUGUUGAAUGAGCACUUACGAGCAAGAAUCGACAGAGUUUCGACAUCCGAAAGUCUCGUACGAGCCUUAGAAAUAGUAUAGGAUACAGAUGUCAUGACAUUAGGUUAUCGAUAUGUGAUUACACGUAAGACCAUGCAUUGUAUUGAAAUUAUGUGUAAGACCAUGUCUGGGACAUUGGCAUCAUUAAUUGAUUUCGUGUAAGACACUGUCUGGGACAGUGGCAUCGAUAUGUGAUAACAUGUAAGACCAUAUUUGGGAUAUGGCAUUGUACGAGCUUAUGUGAUUUCUGGGUAUCCUUAACGAUUCCAAACAAUUCAAUGGUAAAAGUUAAGUCGGGAAAGAAUAUGUGAAUGAGCUAAGUGAUUCAGGUAUGUACGAAAUUCAUAUGAUCUUUAAGAAGAUAAGGUAAUUGAUGAAUUGGUAUGUUUAAGAAGUAUAAAUUGAUUAAUAAAAAGGUUUGUGAUCUUGAAUGUGUAUUUAAUUGUGCUUAUUCAUAUAUUGUUUAAUUGAUGGUAAUGAUAUUGAUUCAUAAGAUGAUUUAUUUGUGUAUGGCUUACUAAGCUUUAAAAGCUUACUUUGUGUGUUCUUUCCAUGUUUUUAUAAAUCAUCGAAGCUAGCUCGGACUCUGGGAUCAUUGGGAAAAGUCAUCUCACUAUCGAUCAACUCGUUGGUAUUUUUGGAAGCUUUGUAUAUAUGGUGUAUGGCAUGUACAGGCUAGAGUCAUCUUGAUAUGUUUUGAGUUUUGAUUUUAGCCAUGUGAUUUGGCUUGUAAAUGUUGGUGUGAAUUUGGCCAUUUAAGUUGGCUUAAGUUAUGUGUUUGAUAAGUUAAUUAUAUGAUGUAUAUAAUGCCUUAUAUGUUGGCUUAUUUGGUGUGAUUAUGUGUUAAUUAUUUUGAUUAAAUGUUAAUUGAUAUGCUUAUGCUUGGAAGCUAGCAUAUUGUGGUUUGAUUUGAAAUGACCAUAUGGUAUAUGUUGAAGUAUGAAAUAGGUAAUAAGUUGAUGGAUAAAUGCAUUUAGUAGUUAUGUAUGUUUGAUGUUUUUGGUAUAGUGAAAUGGUAUGUUUUGGUUGUGGAAUUGAGUAGUGGAAAUGAUUGUGAAUAGAUGGCAUGAUAUGUGUAUGAAUUGGUAGGUUUUUGGUCACUUAAAGAUGUAUUGAAAUGGUGUUAUCUAGUUGCUAUGUAUGGUUGUGGUUAGGGUGGCAAAUUGGCUUUGCAGAUAGCCUAUUUUUGUCCACACGGGCAAAGGCACAGGCGUGUGCCUCUGUCGUGUAUGACACACGGUCAUGUUACACGGCCGUGUGUCCCUUGGGGUACCCUUCAAAUUAAAGUUAGUAUACCUUACAGUUUUGACAUGGCCUAGACACACGGGCGUGUUUACUGGCCGUGUGUGGCUCACGGGCUGGCACAUGGGCGUGAGGUCGGCCGUGUGACCCAAGUCAGUAACUCUAUUUAGAUUUCACACGGCCUGGCAAACGGGCGUGUCCUCGACCAUGUGAUGCAAGUUAGUAUCUAUGCCCUGUUUUCACAUGGCCUGUGACACGGGUAUGUCUAGUAACCGUGUGAGGCACACAGCCUGUUCACUUGGCCGUGUGACCUUGUAAUUAAAGAAAAUUUUAUAUGUUUCCCAAAGUUUGUGAAUGUUAUCGAUUUAGUCCCAAACCACUUCUAAGCAUGUUUUAAGGUCUCGUAGGACCUUACAAGGGACAAUAUGAUUGAUAUGAAUAGAUGUUAAUUAUGUAUGUAUGUAUGUAUGUAUGUAUGUAUGUAUGUAUGUAUGUAUGUAUGUAUGUAUGUAUGUGAAAUGUGUGUGAUUUCCGGUAAUGCCUCGUAACAUUAUUCCAACGUUGGAUAUGGGUUAAGAGUGUUACAUAUAAGAUGCUACAAAAGUUAACCAAACAAUUCGCAUACAUUUCUGACUUUAAUAAAUAAUAAUUCAACAAAGAAUUUCAUGAUACAAGUUUAGAAUGAUUAACAAACAAUUCCAAAUCUCAAUCGAGCCUACUAAAGCUCUAAAGUUAACCUGAGUACAAAAUGGAUUAAAUUGUAAAAUUUUAAACAAUUAGGAAAAAUCACAAAACAUGGUUACAUGGUCAUGUUCCUAGACCGUGUGAAAAAUUGAGGCCAUGUAAGCUGGAGUCACACAGACGUGUAUCUAAACCAUAUAACUCAUUAAAGCCAUAUAAGCUGGAGUCAUACGGUCGUGAAUCCAAACCAUAUAACUCACUGAGGAUAUGCCAAUCUAGAACUUCUUAAUUUAUAUCGAGCAUACGAUCACGUGUUAGCCCGUGUAUGCCAUUAUGUACCUUAUUAUGCAAGUUACAAAACCAAAUUUCCAAGUAUUUCAAAAGCAUACACUUGACCCAUAUUUAAAACUAUUCAAAGUGCAUAAUAACAUGCCAAAUUAUAUCAUUUUCCUAAUUUCAAACCAAUAUGCCUCAAGGCACCAUCACACAACACAAACCAAUAUGUCCUAAUGAAAUCAAAAUACCAAGCUUCAAUCACCUUUAAAAUUAACAUCAAAUUCCAUUGUACAUAUAUGAUCAUAACAUUCAAUUCAAUUAUCAACUAUUAAACCUUAUGCAAUAUGCCAUGCAUUCUUGAUAUUCUAUCCAAUAUCACAUUACAAAGUUACCAUAUCAAACCAUAGUUAUAGAUAUUAAUUUUUCAACAAGCACACAUGCACUUAUAUAUGCAAUAAACAUCUUACAAAACUCACAAGUCCAUACCUAUCAUUAUACACAACAACAAGAACUAAAUAUUAUCAAUCCAUAAAAAUUGCCAUCAUAAUUCCAAAAUCCAUCAUCCACCUAGAAUUCAAAAUGACAACCCUAGGUACAUGCCAAAUUUACAUAACCAAAAAGAGUACAAACUUUAAGGAGUCUAGGGUAUCGGUUGGAUGUUGAACUGAACUCAAAACAUAGCUAUGAACCUAACCUACAUACAAAAUCAAAAUUUACGGUGAAUAGUCAAUAUAACCUAAUUCCCUAAAUCGAGAUAACAUAACAAAAUCAACUUAGUCCACGUUCAUUUGAACAAAUGUUUAAUUUUAUACUUCUAAGUUACAUCAUGUUUUUUUUUGUCAUUCAUUUUCCACUUCCGUAUUUAAAGAGUUGUGACUACUCUUAUACUUUCAUUUUUUUAAGUAAUUAUAUAUGACAAAAAUUUAACUUUUAAGAAAAGAAUUAAAUGAUACUAAAAAUGGAAAGAAUUAAACGAGGAAUAUUAAUUUUAAUUUAAGGCUUACAAGUGAGGAGCACCUUUAAUGCAAACACAUUAUAUCUUGAGAGCAAUUAUAAACCUAUCAUAAAUUAGAACAAGAAGAACAAUAAAUUAUAUAAGCAUUAAAUAAAAAUUAUUAUCACUCCUAAAUCUAUAUUUAUGAAGUAAGAGGAAUUGGUAUGGAACUUGUGAAAUUGACAUACUUACUUUGAAAAUAGCAAUCAGCUUGUGCUGUAUUUGUGCUAAAACUUUCCUUUUCUAAUCUGAAAUAUGAUUUAGUUGAAGAAUACUUAUACUAAGAUACAUGUUCAGUAUGGAUGUAAUCAAUGUUACAAAGAGUACAAAAAUUCAACAACUUGUAAACAUUUUUCCAAAUUGUUAUCAUCUUUAUUUAGAAAAUUUUCAAUUCAUUGAAUUUUAUAAUUAAUUUGAGUAGUAAGUUUUCAAGGAAAAAAAUUAUUCUACAAUUAUUAAUCCCUUACCAAAUGUGUUCUCUAAAGAGGUAAACAAUAUGUCAUAAAAUGUGCUAUAUUUCUAUGAAUAAGGAUUAAAUCUCUGAUCACAUGGUUAAGUGAUGAGGUAAGUAACCACCAUAAUUCUUAAUGGAAAAUCAUUCACUUUAAUUAAUUAACAAUUGGAUACAAUUAAAAUAUUAUUAUGGGAUAUUAUUUUUUAACAAUUUAAUUUUUAAUAGGAUAUUUUUUUUAAUUCAAACAAAACAGUCUUUUAACUUAAACCAAAAUGGAACCUUAAAAGAAUCAAUGGGAAAUUUCUCUUUACUUUAAUAGUACAGGAGGUUUACUUACUGAGUUUUUCUUUGAAUUGAAUUCAAAAUUGUUCGAAUUGUAUAAUCGUCAAUUACUGACAUUGGUAAACGACCCAAAGCAAUUUGAUUACAAUUCAAUUCGUGACGGUCGUAAGUAGAAAGUCCAUAUUCUUCAGUCAUUGAUAAACAAUUUGUUGGACAGUACUCAACCCAGUUACCACAAAAUAUACAAAUUCUAAAAUCAAUAUUGUAAUUAAGCAAUCGUUUUUUUCGAAUAUCUGUUUCAAAUUUCCAAUCAACAAUGGGUAGAUCUAUAGGGCAUACACGAACACAUACUUCACAAGCAAUGCAUUUAUCAAAUUCAAAAUGGAUUCGUCCGCGGAAACACUCUAAUGUGAUUAAUUUUUCAUAAGGAUAUUGAAUAGUUACGGGUAAACGAUUUGCAUGGGAUAAGGUAAUCAUGAAACCUUGACCAAUGUACCUUACUGCUAGGACUGUUUGGUGGCCAUAAUUCAUGAACCCAGUUACCAUAGGGAACAUAUCGUGAAUAUCUAUGAAUAAUUUUAUGUUUGUUUCUUUCUCUUGCUUGAACCAAGUC